UACAGAGGGUGCAAGCGUUAAUCGGAAUUACUGGGCGUAAAGCGAGCGUAGUCGGUUAUUUAAGUCGGGUGUGAAAUCCCCGGGCUCAACCUGGGAAUUGCAUUCGAUACUGGAUAGCUAGAGUUCGGCAGAGGGAAGCGGAAUUUCCGGUGUAGCGGUGAAAUGCGCAGAUAUCGGGAAGAACACCCGUGGCGAAGGCGGUUCUCUGGGACGGUACUGACGCUGAGACGCGAAAGCGUGGGGAGCGAACAGG
rnacentral:rRNA from 1 species